GUGCUUAACACAUGCAAGUCGAACGGUGAACACGGAGCUUGCUCUGUGGGAUCAGUGGCGAACGGGUGAGUAACACGUGAGCAACCUGCCCCUGACUCUGGGAUAAGCGCUGGAAACGGCGUCUAAUACUGGAUAUGUGACGUGACCGCAUGGUCUGCGUUUGGAAAGAUUUUUCGGUUGGGGAGGGGCUCGCGGCCUAUCAGCUUGUUGGUGAGGUAAUGGCUCACCAAGGCGUCGACGGGUAGCCGGCCUGAGAGGGUGACCGGCCACACUGGGACUGAGACACGGCCCAGACUCCUACGGGAGGCAGCAGUGGGGAAUAUUGCACAAUGGGCGAAAGCCUGAUGCAGCAACGCCGCGUGAGGGAUGACGGCCUUCGGGUUGUAAACCUCUUUUAGCAGGGAAGAAGCGAAAGUGACGGUACCUGCAGAAAAAGCGCCGGCUAACUACGUGCCAGCAGCCGCGGUAAUACGUAGGGCGCAAGCGUUAUCCGGAAUUAUUGGGCGUAAAGAGCUCGUAGGCGGUUUGUCGCGUCUGCUGUGAAAUCCCGAGGCUCAACCUCGGGCCUGCAGUGGGUACGGGCAGACUAGAGUGCGGUAGGGGAGAUUGGAAUUCCUGGUGUAGCGGUGGAAUGCGCAGAUAUCAGGAGGAACACCGAUGGCGAAGGCAGAUCUCUGGGCCGUAACUGACG
rnacentral:rRNA from 1 species